UCGCCUGACACCCAUAAGGGGAGGGCGCAGCGCGCACCCGGAGGCAGAGCCUGCCAGAGCUAGUGGCUGCGGGAGGGAAGCCGGGUGGUCGAGGUACCAGCUCCUGCUACAGCGCAUCCCACCCAUCACUCUACGCCCCGGCCGGUGACGGGAAAGGAGCCAGCUACACAGCGGUGCGCAAACCCCUGUUUGCCUCAGGGCCGAAUUUGGUCCUGUUUCCUCCGGAUUGGAUUGGUUUGUUAUCUACAGCCACAUCCAUCCAUGCCUAUGUAUAGGGACCAGCCGCUCCUGACUCAGUCCCGUAGGAGUCAGUGGGCAGAGCAGGACACAGCGCGGAGUGGAAUGUUGACUCUCGCGCUGAAUCAGUUCCGUAUCGGCCGGAUAAGCCAUGCAAACAGUGGCAACGUGAGCCCAGGAGACAGACACCUCGGGCAACUGUCGGAGAGGCAGUUCGAGUAAGUACCCCAAGCAUCCCAGCAGGAUAGGUCUGGGCAUUCGAAAAAGAAAACUCCCUCUGGUUCCCACCAAUCCUCCUCCUCUCUCACACAAGGGGGAUAGAGUGCAACAUACCUUACGCCAGCUGCACCAACCCCCAGGAGGAAACCCCCUAACACACUCAGCCUGGAAUUCCACGCCUAGUCAACGAGAACACAGCAUUCCCCAAACCAUCCUAAUCCUCCUGCUCUAACACAAAUCAAUCUUACUUCUCCUCCCCAGACCCCGAAAGGAAAAUCCACCCACCCCAAUCUUCAAAUUCCCGCCCCCCAACUCCAGAGAGAGAGUAACCCACCCAUCUUUUUUUACGUACACCACUUAGCUACUCUGCAGAUAAGCACUUUAUACAUGCCGUGUGGCUGGAUAGAGAGCCCCUCUCUCGAGACAAUACCGACUUCAGACAGAGGUGCUACCGUGCUUCAGCGAUACUUGUGUACCUUGGUCCAAGAAAGAACUGGAUUGUGUAACACACGCAAAUCCUCCCCAUGCCCAGAGAGAGAGACAGACUGUUACACCCAGCUUUAAACCUGUUUCCUAAACCUCAGAGAAAGGGAGACUGUAAAACACCCAGCUUUAAACUGCCUUUCGCUUCGCGGACCGUAAUCCAAAAACAGGGAGUCUGGAACACCCCCAGUUUUAAACCUCUUUCCCCACUGCCCAAUAUGUAUGUUUGCACCUCGGUAUGUGUCUGUAGCAGCAGGUUGUAACAUGCCUGGUGGGAAUGUAUUUGGCACGGGUGAUGAUGUGGCUCGGCUCUGCUGCAUUGUGGGGGAAGGGGAUCGCAACGGGUCGGUCUCAUAUAUCGUAGCGAGCAAAUCGGUGGUUUCGCACGCCAUAGCUGCAUAGCCAGGCACGCCCCCGAGUGACACGCCGGCCCCGCAUGCUGCUGCCUUUGAAGGGACUUUGCAGCGAAUGCGAUUCCUCAUAUCGCGCUCUAAAGGGAGAGAGAUGGAAUGAGUAGCCCCACGGCGUGCACACACUAACUCCUCUCCGGUGCUGAUGCGCAGCCGGCGCUCUGACCCCCGCAUACGGAGGGGGUAAUUAGCCGGGGAGGACACGGUUUACUCAUCCGAUUGGGAUCCAGGAAUGUAGUCCUUGUUAAACCGGUCUCUCUCGACCUGCUGUCGGCCUUCGCCCAACGGAGGCGAUGGGAGGCGCUCCGCUCUGCCCAGCUGUGCCCUGAGCGGACUGGCUGACAUUGGCAUGCUGGUCGCUGCCCCCAGCAGCGAGGGCAGAGCAUUACAAAGCGCCGCUGUGCACCCCGAGACAAGGCGUUCCCUCCCGCCUGCUACGGCACGUUGCCCGGCUCCUGCCGGCCUGCCUCCCUUCCCCCAUCAAGCCCCUUGCUCUAGCAGCAGCGCUGCGCAUUUGCAGCCAAUCUGUCCAGCAACAGCCCGGCUUCCUCUGCGUUGUCUUCUCCCAGCUGGGCAGCCCAGCCGCGGCUGCAACCGGAGCAGGCUGCACCGCGACCACGUGCACCGCCCUUCCCCCAGCCGGGCUGCAGCAGGCGCCGCUGGAGGAAGGGCAUCUUAGGCCAGGCGCGCGACACGCCGCCCAAUCCCCCCCCCCGCGGGAAGGAGGCAAAACCAGAACGCGCGAAGGGAGGGGGCGGGCAACAGGCGCGCACUCGACCCCGCCCUAUCUGGCUGUCUGCCCGCGCCCGGCGACUUAGCGGGCUGCGCCGGGGCCGGGAUCACCCCACAGCCUCACCUCCAACCUCAGCCAAUCGGCUCGCGUUCCAGGAGCCAGGCUCCGCCGACAUAUGCUCGUAAGCAAGAUUCGGCGGCAGCCAAUCAGAAACAACACUCACCCCCCCGCGCGCUCUCUCUCUCUCCGGCGACCCUGGUAACAGAGGCGGCCGCUGCAGGGACACGUGGGACGGAGGGAGAUGGCCGUGCAGCGUUACCUUGACAACCGGUCAACCACAACACGGGGCGGGGGCCAAGAUUGGGCGUCGGUCCCGGCCCGGCGCAGGCCGGUCGCGGCGCCUCCGCCGUGGGAGAGUUCAGUGCCUUGGGUCGCAGGGAGACUUUGGUCCCAUCCUUGUACUGCAGGCACCCCCUACAUUUCUGCAACGUCAGGAGCACGCCCAGUGCCCGCUCAGCUAGCGCGCACCGGACCACGCCUCAGGCCCGCACGCAGCUCUGCACGCCUGGCCACAGGCAGAAGAGACACGCGGCUCGCUAGAGCGCUUGCGGAGAAUGCACACACCCAGAGAAACAGCGGCCAAAUUAAACUAAGACAUUGUCCUCUCUGACUCCUAGCCAACGUACAAAAGCCACCUUGAACUUUCCGGUGCCAUCUCAACCGCAGGGACAAACGAUCUGUCCGCUGCCAGGAAGCACUAGCAAGUCACAAACUAAUUUUUCUGGAUGUGAGCCCACGGCUUGCAAUAUUCAAAUUCAAGUUAUUGGGAAGAGCAGAUGAAAACCGACAAGCUGGCAUACUGCCAUACUAGCAGGUUACCGUAGGCCACUGUGAAAUGCACAAAGAAUGUUCUGGACCUUUGUAGAAUCUCGUGGAACCUUCCAGACUUUCUGAAAACUACGUUUUCAUUGAACCUCCUACAGUGUUGUCAGCCAUGACGUCAUGGGUGUAUCAAGAGCAGGGCAUCGUCGCUCAGUCAGUGAGAUAUAAGAACGAAGUGAGAGGCCAGCUGCGAUACUGUGAACCUUGUUUUAUUGUAUAAUUGUAAAAGGGUACUUGUGUUUUAAGACUUGAAGAGUGUACAUAGUGACUAAUAAAAGACAUAUUUAAUGAGUCA